rnacentral:rRNA from 1 species
GACGAACGCUGGCGGCGUGCUUAACACAUGCAAGUCGAACGAUGAAGAAAAGAAUCGAAGCUUCGGCAGAAAUUCAUUUCGGAUUAGUGGCAGACGGGUGAGUAACGCGUGAGCAACCUACCUCUUACAAAGGGAUAGCCUCGGGAAACCGGGAUUAAUACCAUAUAACAUUGUGACGAAGCAUUUCGAUGCAAUCAAAGCUACGGCGGUAAGAGAUGGGCUCGCGUCCCAUUAACCGGAUGGUGAGGUAACGGCUCACCAUAGUGACGAUGGGUAACCGGCCUGAGAGGGUGAACGGUCACACUGGAACUGAGACACGGUUCAGACUCCUACGGGAGGCAGCAGUGGGGAAUAUUGCACAAUGGAGGGAACUCUGAUGCAGCGACGCCGCGUGAGUGAUGAAGGAAUUCGUUUCGUAAAACUCUGUUCUAUGGGAAGAAAAGGACUGUACCAUAGGAGAAAGCUCCGGCUAAAUACGUG